UUGCAGUUUGGUACAACACCUUCUGCCAACUGCUACCUAUUAAAUGUUGCUACUUACUUCGGCGCAUGCGCAUGACAUAGGUAAAAUUGUAAAAUACACAUACUAUACUCCUGAAGAUCUCCAAUAAAGACAUUUUAAUACAGCAUCCAAUUAUGCUCCCCAUAUUCGUAUGUGUCAGGUAGCGUAUUUCAUCUGUAGACCAACUGCCUAUCAAUUAAACGAUGCUCCCACUACAGAAUCACGUUAUUGUACACCAAUAACCCCAAGUACACUGUAAGAAUAUGGGGAGCAUAAUUUGAUACAGUAUUAUUGUAACGCCUUUAUUGGAGAUGUCAGGGGUACAGUAUGUGUAUUUUACACCAUUACCACAACGCGGAAUCCAUAGCGUAAUCAUAAGCAUGCGCAGAACAGACCAGGAAGCACAAUAUGAUAGGUAGCAGACAUUGGCAGAACAGAACACCCUGCUUGACGGAGUAAAAGAAGACAUGGCGAGGAACGGAAAGCUACGGGACCGAACUGAAGACGCUGGGAUCCACCAUUUAGGAGACAUCCGGAAUCAACAGGAAAUCUUCACAACCCUGACUCAGCAGUGACAGUUGAGCCAGCCUCUCUGCAGCUUAAGGACAACUUCAGCUUGAUCGAAAACUGGGGGGCAAUUCAUAUAAUAGGAUAAUCUGGUGUUUUAAGGUUUAUUAGUCGGCGGUUUAAUUAAUGUAUCAAAGCAACCCAGCACUCGUGAUCGUGGGGUGGCUAUCUGGGCCACUCGACAUCAGAACCUCGAGUUUACAGCAUCAACAAAACACCCGUUAUUAUAUCAUUGCCCAACCCCACUCACUCACACAAUUUCAAAUUGCAUUGAUGACCUUAUUUCCGCCUUGGUUACCGAAUACUAAGAUUAAACUCAGGUUGAUUGUCAGUUCAGUCUUAUCCUGUGGGUCAGGCACUGCUGUUAUUUUCUUGUAACUUAAAAUUGCACUAGACGGCAUUAAUAUUAGUUUGGAUUGGAUACUGAUUAGCAGUCACUGUUUUAGCUUUACUCUCCACCUCAGCCUCUCCACGGCCUUUAUGCUCUGUCCUGGUUGACCAAUUUAAACCUUCAAUGUGGUUUGUUCACUUGAAUCCGUGAAACGCAUAAAUUGUACUUCAAUUGUUUUGUUAAUGGAAGGAAUUGUCGUGAUUUGGUCCCUGUAUAUGCAUUUGAAAUAAAUGAUUAAUCAUUUCAGUA